rnacentral:lncRNA from 1 species
GAGGGACGAUUGGCAAGGAUUGUAUUUUGAUGACUUUUUUUUUGUUGCUAAAAUAUUUUGACAACAAUUGGCCAUUAAAAGUUCGAACCAUGGGCUUAGAAAACUUAACCAGCAUUCAUGUCUUUCAAAAUCAAUAUGGGCUGGACCCCUCAUGGGCUAAAAGCAUGGGUGUGGAAGGAUCGAUGGGCCCAGCCUUUUAUUCUAUGAUUCUAUCGAGUCUCAUUUAUAGAGAUCCAUUUCAAUGUACAGUCCCAAAGCAUCUUUUAGCCUAAACACAGUUUGCUUAGCCAAAGCAGAAACAUCGUGGUUCUUCCUCACGCCACGCCACUGCAUGAUCGAUCCCACGACAGCAUGUGAAGUUGUAGUCAUAGGGAGCUGGCUCCCUCCCCUUAUUAAAUAUUUGCUAGAACUAAAACCCUACAAGGCAAGGCAACGAGCCAUGUGGCUAACACGUUGGGGUUCUUCCUGGGUUCUAUUCACUCGACCAUGUUUCAGAACAUUCUAGCUCAUACGUGGACUAUCGAGUGGGACCAGACAUGCGAUCGAGUGGGACCAAGCAGGACCCAGGGCCGUCUUUUCUCGGCGGUGGAUAUAUCAGACGUGCCAGUCCUCUCGAGCUGCAUGUGCAUCUUGGAUCGGAAUUCGAAAGUCCUUGCGUUUGUUCAGCGGAGGGUUGAUCUCUAGGCACAUAGCGGCAUUCUCGAGGAACAAAUAUUUUGGAGAGGAAGGUCGUGCUUCUUAGCUGGGCACGGUGAGGCCUGCAUUUCUUAAUCCACGAUUAGUCAUUUCUUAAAUGGGAUUCUUUAUUAGGUUUGGAAGGUGUAAGGGUAGUGGCUAGAUUCAUUCUAAAGUCAAUUUAGUUGUAAAGUCUUCGAUUUAAUUAUAUUGAUUUUAUUUUUAUUCUCCAGUCCUGAGGUUUUAUUUUACUUUAAAAAAUUAGGGUUUCCCUAGUUUCAGCACAUGAUGAGGUAAUUUUCUUUCACUACAGUCCCUAUUUUUAUUCUAUUCUUAAGAAUAACAAAACAAAAAAACCAAAAUAAAAUAAAAUUAGGGUCAUCUUUCAUCAUUGACUUUACUAGUUCACCACUAUCUUCCAUUUUAAUAUUGUUACCGUUAUUAUUAAUAUUACUUCUACCACGAC